rnacentral:rRNA from 1 species
AGAGUUUGAUCCUGGCUCAGGGUAAACGCUGGCGGCGUGCCUAAAACAUGCAAGUCGCACGCAGGCUUCGGCCUGAGUGGCAGACGGCUGAGUAACGCGUGGGUGACAUACCCAUCGGUGGGGAAUAACUGCCCGAAAGGGUGGCUAAUACCGCGUACGCCUGUAGCAUCGCAGUUACAGGGAAAGCAGUAAUGUGCCGA